AGAGCGAGGGGGCUUUAAUGACGAGGCGCACCUAACGCCGCACCUGCAAACUAUUAUAACCCCGCUGGAGCAGGUGUGCGCUCUGGCUGAUGUUUGGUGAGGCGUUCACGUGUCGUCCGCUGCUCCCCGCUCUUGGUCCUGACCGGAGAAGGGUUUCUUCCCAAGUUACACCAACGAAACAAAAAACCCAAGCGACACUAGCAGCGCCUACAUUACAACGAUGCUGCCGGACUCGUACGGAUGCGCGAUAGCAAACAGGUUCGGGGAUCUUCUGGAUGACGACGCGGACCCGUUUGACCUGAUCAACGUGGUGGAAGCGGAGAAGGAGAAGAAGGCGAAGAAGAAGAAGGAAGAUGCGGACAAGAAGGUGAAGCCGAAGAAACUCGGUCAGAGGGAAUCUCAGAAGGAAAGACGAGUGCCACUUGCGACUGGAGUUUCGGAACCGGCCCCAGCCCAUAAGCAGCUGGUCCGCCCAGUGCUGGAGAGUGGAGAGCGAAAAGAAGAACCCCUGAAGGGCAAGAGAAAUGCUCCUUUUGGGGAGCGCAGGUUCAACCAAGAGCAGCGGCCGCAGGAGUUUUCGGCCUCCAGGUCCUCUUAUGAUCAAGACCCAGAGUUCCGGGGCAGAGGUGGGUCCAGAGGCCGCAGGGGAGGCCGAGGCGGAACCGCCCGGAACAAUGACAACUAUACCUUGAGAGGAAAACGAGAAUAUGAUCGUCACAACGGAACUGGCAUCUCCCCUGAUGAGAAGAGAGGGGGCAGAGGAGCCUGGAACUGGGGCUCUGUUGAAGAUCCUGCAGGUGAGGAGAUGGAUGUUGGAACUGAUGCUCCUCCUAAACCUGAGGAGCCUCAAGUUGCAGCUGAAGAUGACAACCAGAACCUUGCUCCAGAGGACGGGGAGGGGGAGAUGGUGGUCCAGGUUGCCGUGGAGAUGUCUCUGGACGAGUGGAAGUCCCUGCAGGAGGCCAGCCGCUCGAAGGCCGACUUCAAUAUCCGCAAAACCGAGAACCAGAUUCCAUCCAAGGCAAAGGUCAUUCACGAGUCCAAGCAUGUGGAGAUGAUCAGACAGAUGAGGAUGGCGCAUGAUGCUUUCAGAUGAUGAUCUGGGACUAAGAUGGAGGAAUGAAAGUCAGAGUGAAGAUAAAAUAAGUGUGUCAAUGAGAGAGGCAGGGGGGAGAACAGAGGCAAGGUAGUGAAAGGAGUGUCAGGGGUCAAUCUUCCCCAGCAAUGGACAUAACUCAAGUGAAGUGAAGAGGUGUGUGAAGUGAAAAAUUCUGAAGGAGACUCUUGAAAACUUGGAGGACGAAGGUACCUUCCUCCGUCGCUCGGUUAACGACAUUACUUCACUCUUGGACAUCAAUUUUGGAAGUCUCGGGCGUCCUGGCCGCGGAGGUCGUGGCAGGGGAGCACGGG